AGGAUGAACGCUGGCGGCGUGCCUAAUACAUGCAAGUCGAGCGGUAAGGCCCCUUCGGGGGUACACGAGCGGCGGACGGCUGAGUAACACGUAGGAACGUACCCCAAAGUGAGGCAUAAGCACCAGAAAUGGUGUCUAAUACCGCAUGUGGCCCUAGGGCUAAAGCUCCGGCGCUUUGGGAACGGCCUGCGCAUGAUUAGCUUGUUGGUGAGGUAAUAGCUCACCAAGGCGAUGAUCAUUAGCUGGUCUGAGAGGAUGACCAGCCAGACUGGAACUGAGAACGGUCAGACUCCUACGGGAGGCAGCAGUAGGGAAUUUCCACAAUGGACGAAAGGUCUGAUGGAGCAACGCCGACGUGCAGGAUGAAUGCCUUCGGGUUGUAAACUGCUUUUUAUAUGUGAAGUAUUAUAGAGGUAGCAUAUAGAAUAAGGUAUCGGCUAACUCCGUGCCAGCAGACCGC
rnacentral:rRNA from 1 species